rnacentral:sRNA from 1 species
GCUGGGUGUGGUGGAGCACACCUGUAAUCCCAGCAGCUCAGGAGGCUGAGACACAAGGAUCAUGAGUUCAAAAGCAGCCUCAGCAACUUAGCAAGGCACUAAGCCACUCAGUGAGACCAUGUCUCUA